AAAAAUAUCUAGAUAAAGCGUCUAAUGGGGUGGGCGAGCCAUGUCAAUCAAGUUUUUACCAUCAUGAGGAGCCCAGCUGACUUGUACAGAAGGCCAUCUUUCAGACCAAAGAUUUUUCUACCUCAGUUAGGCACUUAGAGCAGGUUCCAAGGGCUCAGCAACACCACUACUGCCAUUCAGGACUAUUACCUUGCCCUCAGAAUCCACAUCCACAAUGCAAGAGUCACCUUCUUUCACCUCACCAGCAAGCAUCUUCUCUGCCAGACUAUCCUCCAGAAGCCUCAUGAUAGCACGCCGCAAAGGCCGGGCACCAUAACUUGGGUUGUAACCCUCAUCAACAACUCUAUCACGGAACUUCUCUGUAACCUGGAGAUCAAUGUCCUUGGCCUUAAGCCUGUUGAACACUUCCUUCAGCAUAAUGUCUGCAAUCUCCUUCACCUCCAAUUUUGUCAGCUGCCGGAACACAAUCAUCUCAUCCAAUCUGUUCAAGAAUUCUGGACGGAAAUACUGCUUCAACUCCUCCGUCACCAGGCUCUUGAUCCUGUUGUAGCUAGUGUCCUUCUCGUCAUAGUCAAGAUCGAACCCAAUCUUACGGCCUCCCUUCUCAAUGACACUGCUUCCGACAUUCGAUGUCAUGAUCAAUAGUGUGUUCUUGAAAUCAACAGUGCGCCCCUUGCUGUCAGUUAGCCUCCCAUCUUCUAAGAUCUGAAGCAUCAUGUUGAAAACAUCUGGAUGUGCUUUUUCAAUCUCAUCAAAGAGAACAACAGUGUACGGACGGCGACGAACUGCUUCAGUCAAUUGGCCUCCCUCGGUGUAGCCAACAUAACCUGGAGGUGAUCCAAUGAGUUUGGAGACAGUAUGUCUCUCCAUGAACUCACUCAUGUCAAGCCUGAUCAUAGCCUCCUCUGAGCCAAAGUAGUAAGCCGCCAGAGCCUUUGCUAAUUCUGAUUUACCAACUCCAGUAGGUCCAGAGAAUAUGAAGCUAGCAAUUGGACGAUUCGGAUUCUUGAGCCCGACACGAGC
rnacentral:lncRNA from 1 species